UCCAAAAUUGGCUCAUUUCACAUGGAGAGACCCAAAGAAAGGCUGUGAGUGCUUCUUCAUGAAGUGCUACCUGCUGGAGCUAAACGUCUACUGGGAAGAAAACGAAAUCGUUCAGGACCCUAUAUUAACAGACAACCUUGAAGCCAUAGAGGAAUGCCUUGAAAAGAAGUCCAAUAUCUGCUCACCAUGUGAAGCUCAACCGUUUGCCAAUAUUUCUAUGUUCUCCUCAAGUCUGAAUGACACUUUAGAUUACUUUAGUACGCUGGGCAAUGACGAAGACAUUUACUGCACCUGUUAAUGUUUAAAGUCCAUUCUUCCUGAGGAUCUGCUGCUUUUUGCUGUUUGACUUCAAGCACAUUGAUAAAAUGGGCUAUAUUGUGAACAAAACAAUGUAAGCUAAUAUGCAAUCCACAAAGUUGUAAAAUUGUAAUACAUACCCACAAAAAGUCAGGGAUAUUCGGCUUUCGGGUGAAAUUUCAGCAUGAAACCUUUACAGGUGAACUUAAUGUGACCUCUAAACUUUUGUAUGCGCAUGUCCAACAGUUCAGUGUUUCAGUACUUUCUGUACUGAAUCAUUAAAUUUCACCCGAAAGCCAGAUAUCCCUAACCUUUUCUGAGUAGUGUAAGUUGUAAGCUAUUAUGUAUGAAUCUUUUUUAUAUUUAAGAAUCUUAUAGAAUAUACUAUGCACUAUGUUUUUUUUACGACACAUUUUGAAUGUCAGGAAUAUAUAUGAUAGUGCAUGAUACUAUUUUCUCUUACAAUAUUGCCUUUUCCUUUAUAAUGAUACUUUGACUGUAAAGACAAACGUGUUACAAGGCAUGCAAGGUAGACUUAGUGGGUUUGCCAGGAGUGCAGGCUUAAGGGGGGCUCAUUACUGGGCAUAGGAGAUCCAUGUUCCACCUGUUUGAUGGCACCAAUGCCACUGACAUUGUUAAGUUCCGUUCCCCCUGGAAACAACUCUGCUCUGGAAUUACUCAGGCCACUGCCCCUAGAAAAGAAAUCUCAUUAGCGCUGCGAUCUGACUCAUCAGAAGUGAGGUGGUGGAGAGGCAACAGGAUGGUGGUGCCAGCGUUGACCAGAGAUUUCCUGAUUCCUGUCGCCUGCUGCAGGUCAGUGAGGAGCAGCAGGGCUGAGUUUUGGGCGUAGCUGCCCCAACCCCACCACUCCUCUCUCCCUUUGCCUCCAGCUCGCGGGUGAUCCUCUCUGCCACAAAGUCCUGCGUCCGUCCACAGCAGAUAGACAGCACACCAGGGCAGCCAGGUCCUGGGGCACCUUGGCGACAGUCCAACAUUCGGCCCGCACUGCAGGCAUGACUGCAGAUGUCCUCAGCGACUCAGAAUGUGCUGCGAACACAGGAAGUCCAAAUGUCUUUCAGCCACAAGCUUCUGACACAGAAAGCAUCGCAGACGCUCCAGAACCUCUCCCUGGACCUCCAACUGCUCAUCUGUAUUCCGCAACUCCUGGAGGUCCAUAGCUGCCAUUUUAUCCACAGUCUUGUUUUUGACGCAUAAACAGUUAGCUUGGUCAGUUCUCUCUGUCUUGUUACGCUACCACUUUUAUUUCUCUGUGUCAGAGAGCCAAGGAUAUAGUCAAUUUAUCUUCAAAGAUGAAGAAAAUAGAUAUAAUAUUUCCUAGAUAUAAUAGAUUUCUAUUUCUUACAUAUAAUAGAUAUUACAUCAGAUAACUUUCUCUAUCAAAACAGGCAUCUCACUUUGCUUGUUUCUGUGUCUGGCACCCAUACUAAAGUUGACUAAAAAGAGGAAUAUAAAAUCUUUUGGAAAUUGAUUAAUGUCUUUCAGUUACUGUAGCCUAUUAGCUGGUUUGAUUUGCA